CCCUUAGAUGUUCUGGGCCGCACGCGCGCUGCACUGAUGCAUUCAACGAGUUUCUUCCUGGUCCGAGAGGAAUGGGUAACCUUUUGAAAGUGCAUCGUGAUAGGGAUAGACUAUUGCAAUUAUUGGUCUUCAACGAGGAAUUCCUAGUAGACGUAGUUCAUCAGACUGCAUCGAUUACGUCCCUGCCCUUUGUACACACCGCCCGUCGCUCCUACCGAUUGAAUGCUCAGGUGAGCCAUUCGGACCUUCAUCAUGCCGGUUUCCGGUUUUGAUGAGGGAAAGUCUUGCGAACCUUAUCAUUUAGAGGAAGGAGAAGUCGUAACA
rnacentral:rRNA from 1 species